CAAAGGGCCAGGCGGGGAGCACGAUAUGGGGAGGCCUCAGCUCCUGAGCUCAGCUCACUUGGACAUGUUUGGGGAGACACAAGCUCCCCUUAACACAGACCUGGGUGGGAUGACCCCCUAGGCUGAGCCUCAGGAAACAGGAAAGGUCCUGGUCAGAGCGCUUCUGGACAGAGGUGGGCUUUCCUGGACAAACGUCGGGGCUCUGAACUCAUCUGGACACAGGUAGAGAAGAUCUGGGCUCCCCCAAACACAGAGCGAAACUCUGUGGGCCUGUUUCCUCAUAUAUACACAGUGGACGUUAAGAGGACAGAUCUCAAACGAAGGUUGCAAAGGC
rnacentral:lncRNA from 1 species